CGGGCAGAGAGGAGUGCUACGCCUACCUCAGAUUCUCUUACAAGCUAUAGCAUGGAGCCCUGGGACAGACGCCGUCCCUACCGGGAGAAGGAAGUCACAUAGCUGAGCUCCACAAACUCCUAACAGGCACCUACGGUGUGCCAGCUAUUAUGCCAGGAGCCAGUCAGAUAGGGAUACAUUAGACAUGGCUCCUCACCAGAGAAAAGGCAUGUACACACACAGGCAAAUAACCAUGAUGCCUGGAAAACGGUGACAAGAGAUGCAAACAAGAUGCUGUGGGCAGUUAGGAAAGAUGAUUUCCAGAUGGGAAUUCAGCAAAGACUUCCUGGAGGAGGUGGCAUUCUUUAAGCUGAACUUUGAAGUGAGGGUAAAAUUUGGACAAGAAACGUGGUUGGAGAUGGGGGGAGAUGGAGUAGUAAAGGUAGUGAAGGCUUUUCAAGUUGCAAUGUCUACUAUUGGAUUAAAUCAUGUGAAACUGUUGAUAUUUUACUGUUUUACCAAUAACAUUGAUUUCAGAUGGUUCAACAUAAUACUUUCCAGGUAAGUGGAGACAGGAAAACACAGGUUGUAGAGAGUAAACAAGGCAGAAGAAGUUCAGCAGUAGCUGGUAAACUUUACAUUAAGUUUCACCUUUCAAUAACGUGAUAGAAAUCACAUGAUAGAAAUAGUUUCACCUUUCAAUAACGUGAUAGAAAUAUUCUAGGAAUGGCAUUUUCCUACUUUCUCCAAAGGAGACUGAUAUUGCAAGGUUUGUCUACUGUCCAAAGAGCUGAACUUCAGAAUCAGACAGAACUGACAAAUCACUGGAAGGCAGUGUUGCACCCCCAAGUCUGAAAGAGUUGAGUUCACAUCCUGGCUCUACAGCUUGUGAGCUAUGCGACCAGCUUCAUAACUUUCUGAAUCACAGUUUUCUCACCUGGAAAAUGGUGAUAAUAGUAGUCCUUCUCUUCCUCAUAAGACUGUGGAGACGAUUACAUGAGAUGGUGCCUGCAUUGCUUAGCACAAUCGCUGGCCCUCAGGAAGUGCCCAGCAGCUGUUUGCAGGGCUGUAAUCUGUGUCAAGAGGCACCGAGGAUGACACCAUGUCCAAAAAUCAUAAUGGGAAUUCCAUCCUCAGGGUCGUGGCUUGUUUCAGUGGAGAAGGCAAGGCUGUGACCUAUUUUAGCACCUACUUCAGUCACAAGAGAAGGGGGAAAGGAGACACAAGGGAACAUACGAUACUUGAGCAUCUCAGGCCAGAAUGACAAGAAUAACAAAAGCUCAACAUGAUCCUCUAAAACCAUUCAGUUGCUUUCAGCCCUCAGAGCAAACCUGCUAAGGAAUUUCACAUUCCCAGGUCUCCCCUGGCAGGCACACCUGGCGCAGAGAUGGCUUUUUUUGAGCAAAAAGGGUUUCUGCAAGCUACCAAGUCAACCACCCUGGAGCGGUUCCCAGGAAAGCAGCGGUGACAUUAGAACAGCAGGCUUACUUGGGCACCAGAGGAGCGGGAGAAACAGACACUCGGCUUUCCAGGAAAAGAAGUCUUGGCCACUCAGGAAAAUCUAAAACCAGAGAGGGAUUUUAACAAUCUUACCAGACCAAAAGGAAAAAGAAAAAUACCAACUUUGACUGCUGGAGUUGCAAAAUCUGGGUGGUCGAACAAUUCAUUCUGGGUCAGGAUGUAAGCCUGGGUUGCAAAGGAAAAGAAAUCAAAUGGAAGGGGGGGAUCCUUUUCAUAAUUAUUCUUUGUUUCUUCAGUAAGACUUUUCAAGUCCACACUUCUGGGGAAGGUUUCCAGUUUGACAGCAUUGAAUUUUCCCUCUGAAAUGAGAUGAAUUCUCAUCUUGCUUGGCCAGCAUUGGCCUAACCCAUUGUCCUGUCAUCAUGAUGUAUUGAGCUGAUCUGUUAGCAUUAUUAAAAAUGUGCAUCUCCUUG